rnacentral:rRNA from 1 species
UACGGAGGGUGCAAGCGUUAUCCGGAUUCACUGGGUUUAAAGGGUGCGUAGGUGGGUAUGUAAGUCAGUGGUGAAAUCUCCGUGCUUAACAUGGAAACUGCCAUUGAUACUAUGUUUCUUGAAUUUUCUGGAGGUAAGCGGAAUAUGUCAUGUAGCGGUGAAAUGCUUAGAUAUGACAUAGAACACCAAUUGCGAAGGCAGCUUGCUACAGGGAUAUUGACACUGAGGCACGAAAGCGUGGGGAUCAAACAGG